AUUGAACGCUGGCGGCAGGCCUAACACAUGCAAGUCGAACGGUAGCACAGAGAGCUUGCUCUCGGGUGACGAGUGGCGGACGGGUGAGUAACGUCUGGGAAACUGCCCGAUGGAGGGGGAUAACUACUGGAAACGGUAGCUAAUACCGCAUAACGUCGCAAGACCAAAGUGGGGGACCUUCGGGCCUCACACCAUCGGAUGUGCCCAGAUGGGAUUAGCUAGUAGGUGGGGUAAUGGCUCACCUAGGCGACGAUCCCUAGCUGGUCUGAGAGGAUGACCAGCCACACUGGAACUGAGACACGGUCCAGACUCCUACGGGAGGCAGCAGUGGGGAAUAUUGCACAAUGGGCGCAAGCCUGAUGCAGCCAUGCCGCGUGUACGAAGAAGGCCUUCGGGUUGUAAAGUACUUUCAGCGGGGAGGAAGGCGAUAAGGUUAAUAACCUUGUCGAUUGACGUUAUCCGCAGAAGAAGCACCGGCUAACUCCGUGCCAGCAGCCGCCGUAA
rnacentral:rRNA from 1 species